rnacentral:rRNA from 1 species
GUGCCAGCAGCCGCGGUAAUACAGAGGGUGCAAGCGUUAAUCGGAAUUACUGGGCGUAAAGCGCGCGUAGGUGGUUUGUUAAGUUGGAUGUGAAAUCCCCGGGCUCAACCUGGGAACUGCAUUCGANACUGACUGACUAGAGUAUGGUAGAGGGUGGUGGAAUUUCCUGUGUAGCGGUGAAAUGCGUAGAUAUAGGAAGGAACACCAGCGGCGAAGGCGACCACCUGGACUAAUACUGACACUGAGGUGCGAAAGCGUGGGGAGCAAACACGAUCAGAUACCGUGGUAGUCC